rnacentral:rRNA from 1 species
AACCUGCCCUUGACUCUGGGAUAAGCCUGCGAAACUAGGGUCUAAUACUGGAUACGACUCCUCAUCGCAUGGUGGGGUGUGGAAAGGGUUUUACUGGUUUUGGAUGGGCUCACGGCCUAUCAGCUUGUUGGUGGGGUAAUGGCCUACCAAGGCGACGACGGGUAGCCGGCCUGAGAGGGUGACCGGCCACACUGGGACUGAGAACACGGCCCAGACUCCUACGGGAGGCAGCAGUGGGGAAUAUUGCACAAUGGGCGCAAGCCUGAUGCAGCGACGCCGCGUGAGGGAUGACGGCCUUCGGGUUGUAAACCUCUUUCAGCAGGGAAGAAGCCACAAGUGACGGUACCUGCAGAAGAAGCGCCGGCUAACUACGUGCCAGCAGCCGCGGUAAUACGUAGGGCGCAAGCGUUGUCCGGAAUUAUUGGGCGUAAAGAGCUCGUAGGCGGUUUGUCGCGUCUGCUGUGAAAGCCCGGGGCUCAACCCCGGGUCUGCAGUGGGUACGGGCAGACUAGAGUGCAGUAGGGGAGACUGGAAUUCCUGGUGUAGCGGUGAAAUGCGCAGAUAUCAGGAGGAACACCGAUGGCGAAGGCAGGUCUCUGGGCUGUUACUGACGCUGAGGAGCGAAAGCAUGGGGAGCGAACAGGAUUAGAUACCCUGGUAGUCCAUGCCGUAAACGUUGGGCACUAGGUGUGGGGGACAUUCCACGUUCUCCGCGCCGUAGCUAACGCAUUAAGUG